GGCUGCCACUCACGUUUCCACCAUGGAUGUAUUCCACUAUUCCACCGUUGUCUUCCAGCAACACGUCACCUCGCCAGAUUUAAGAACAAGACUUCUCCUUGAGCGAGACUCUUUCCAUAACAUCAGACACUUAUGAUAACAAUCAGAGCAUGUCAUGGCAAAAACAAGCACUUUUAGUGGACGUAAAUGACAGUGCCAGCUUGCCCCAAUAGGAUUACACUGCAGCCCGUGAGCAGCUGCCGGUUGCAGCGUUGUCACAU